GUGGGGAAUAUUGGACAAUGGGCGAAAGCCUGAUCCAGCCAUGCCGCGUGUGUGAAGAAGGUCUUCGGAUUGUAAAGCACUUUAAGUUGGGAGGAAGGGCAGUAAGUUAAUACCUUGCUGUUUUGACGUUACCGACAGAAUAAGCACCGGCUAACUUCGUGCCAGCAGCCGCGGUAAUACGGAGGGGGCUAGCGUUGUUCGGAAUUACUGGGCGUAAAGCGCACGUAGGCGGACUGGAAAGUCAGGGGUGAAAUCCCGGGGCUCAACCCCGGAACUGCCUUUGAAACUGCAUGACUAGAGUACGGUAGAGGGUAGUGGAAUUUCCUGUGUAGCGGUGAAAUGCGUAGAUAUAGGAAGGAACACCAGUGGCGAAGGCGACUACCUGGACUGAUACUGACACUGAGGUGCGAAAGCGUGGGGAGCAAACAGGAUUAGAAACCCGUGUAGUCC
rnacentral:rRNA from 1 species